AGCGAACGCUGGCGGCAGGCUUAACACAUGCAAGUCGAGCGGGCAUAGCAAUAUGUCAGCGGCAGACGGGCGAGUAACGCGUGGGAACGUACCUUUUGGUUCGGAACAACUAAGGGAAACUUCAGCUAAUACCGGAUAAGCCCUUACGGGGAGAGAUUUAUCGCCGAAAGAUCGGCCCGCGUCUGAUUAGCUAGUUGGUGAGGUAAUGGCUCACCAAGGCGACGAUCAGUAGCUGGUCUGAGAGGAUGAUCAGCCACAUUGGGACUGAGACACGGCCCAAACUCCUACGGGAGGCAGCAGUGGGGAAUAUUGGACAAUGGGCGCAAGCCUGAUCCAGCCAUGCCGCGUGAGUGAUGAAGGCCCUAGGGUUGUAAAGCUCUUUUGUGCGGGAAGAUAAUGACGGUACCGCAAGAAUAAGCCCCGGCUAACUUCGUGCCAGCCGCCGCCGUAA
rnacentral:rRNA from 1 species